GCUUUAAUUAUGUUCAAUUUGUAACAAUGAAAUUGGGGGUCACCACAACAUAAGGAACUGUAUUAAAGGGUCGCGGCAUUAAGAAGGUUGAGAACCACUGGGAAAGAGUGUGCUGCUCUGUUUUUAAACUUUGACUGAGAUUACCAAGUGGAUUAAGUUAAUCUUACACUAGCUCUAUUGUGUUUAGCCAUACAAGGCCAUAAGGGAUUGUUAUGUUGGGUUAUUAGGGCAAAAAAAUAGUGAACAAUAGUUUGUACAUGGUAGAACUGCUAAGAUCUACCCCUUUAUCCUGCUGUUACUACAAAGAACUUAGUUAACAAAUAUGGCUCUAUUUCACUUAGGAUGAAUUUCAGUAGAACAGGUAUCAUUAAGAUAUAAGCGACCUCUUGGGAAAGAAUAUCAUGCGGAAGAGGGGUAAAGGUACUAGAGCUUAGCAAGUGACUGUAGCAUUCUGGUAUGGAAUAUAUUGAUCUGCAUUUUUCACUGUUCAUUUACUAUCAUGAGAUAAUUCAUUUUGUCUUGAAGGCUAUUUUAUUUGGUUUUCUGGUAUAUAUUUUUGAAAAUAUUUUUGUUCCCAUUUUGAUUUUAGAGAGAGGAAGGGAGGAGGGAAAGAGAGGGAGAGAAACACUGAUGUGAGAGAAAAAUACUGAUUGGUUGCUUCCCGCCUACACCCAACCAACCUGCUACCUGGCACAUGCUCUGACUGGGAAUCAAACCAGUGACCUUUUGGUGCAUGGGUUGAUGCUCAACCAAUUGAGCCACACCAACUCGGGCAGUUUUCUGGUUGAUGUUUUAAAAAUCUGACUUAUCUCAAAGGGCACAAAUGGAAAUACUUGUGGGUAUUACUUUUAACAUUUCCCCAUCUAUAUAUCUUUUUUAAAUUUGUGCAGCUAUCACCAUUAAUUCCAGAAUACUUUAUCACCCCAGAAGGAAAACCUAUAAUCAUUAGUAUGCUUAUUUUAAAUCCUCUCCCCUUUCUCACCCUCCAAAUCCUCUCCCAUCUUGCAACCAUCAAAAUGUUAUCUAAAAAGUAUACUCUUGCCCUCGCCAUAUUUGCUAAGUGGUUAGAGCAUUGGCCUGCCCACAAAAGGGUUGUGGGUUUGGUUCCCAGUCAAGGGCAUGUACCUGAGUUGCUGGUUUGCUCCCUGGUCCUGGUCGGCAGCCCGUGUGGGAGGCAACCAAUUGAGGUGUCUCUCUCACAUUGGCAUUUCUCUUUCUCUCCUUAUCCCCUCCCUUCCACUCUCUGAAAAGCAAUGGAAAAAAAUACCCUCAUGUGAGGAUUAAAAAAAAAAAGUACUCUUCAGGUAUUUGGGGAUUGAUAAGUAAUGGAAUAUAUGUCAGUUAAAUCCUAAAUUCCACAAUAAAAAUUAUAUCCAUAAAAUUAAAA